rnacentral:rRNA from 1 species
GACAUAGGUGGCAAACGUUAUCCGGAAUUAUUGGGCGUAAAGAGCUCGUAGGCGGCUUGUCACGUCGGAUGUGAAAGCCCGGGGCUUAACUCCGGGUCUGCAUUCGAUACGGGCUGGCUAGAGUGUGGUAGGGGAGAUCGGAAUUCCUGGUGUAGCGGUGAAAUGCGCAGAUAUCAGGAGGAACACCGGUGGCGAAGGCGGAUCUCUGGGCCAUUACUGACGCUGAGGAGCGAAAGCGUGGGGAGCGAACAGG